rnacentral:lncRNA from 1 species
UCUCUAUCUCUCUAAUAGAUGCUCUCUAACCCUUCAUUUCUCUAGAACCUUCUGGUUCUCUCUGUUUUCUCCGAUGAUGACCAUCGCCUCUCCGGUUCACUCCUCCCUCCUUCUCUCGACCUCCAGCAACUAUGGAGUCCUUGUAUCGCUGUUUUCUCUCUAAAGUUUGAAACUAGCAGCUUCCGCCAUGAAAGAGGUCACUGAAGAUUUAUUUGGGUCUGUUUUCGGCUUUUCUCCGGUGGUCUUUGUACGAUGGUGUCUUCUAUGGAAUUGUAUACGAGUUUCACAGUCAGGUUCUUCAUUUUACCUAAUUUGUUUGAAAAUUCUAAUUUUUCCUCUUUAAUAUCCACUCUUUUAAAAACAACU